rnacentral:rRNA from 4 species
GUCCACGCCGUAAACGAUGUCGACUUGGAGGUUGUGCCCUUGAGGCGUGGCUUCCGGAGCUAACGCGUUAAGUCGACCGCCUGGGGAGUACGGCCGCAAGGUUAAAACUCAAAUGAAUUGACGGGGGCCCGCACAAGCGGUGGAGCAUGUGGUUUAAUUCGAUGCAACGCGAAGAACCUUACCUGGUCUUGACAUCCACGGAAGUUUUCAGAGAUGAGAAUGUGCCUUCGGGAACCGUGAGACAGGUGCUGCAUGGCUGUCGUCAGCUCGUGUUGUGAAAUGUUGGGUUAAGUCCCGCAACGAGCGCAACCCUUAUCCUUUGUUGCCAGCGGUCCGGCCGGGAACUCAAAGGAGACUGCCAGUGAUAAACUGGAGGAAGGUGGGGAUGACGUCAAGUCAUCAUGGCCCUUACGACCAGGGCUACACACGUGCUACAAUGGCGCAUACAAAGAGAAGCGACCUCGCGAGAGCAAGCGGACCUCAUAAAGUGCGUCGUAGUCCGGAUUGGAGUCUGCAACUCGACUCCAUGAAGUCGGAAUCGCUAGUAAUCGUGGAUCAGAAUGCCACGGUGAAUACGUUCCCGGGCCUUGUACACACCGCCCGUCACACCAUGGGAGUGGGUUGCAAAAGAAGUAGGUAGCUUAACCUUCGGGAGGGCGCUUACCACUUUGUGAUUCAUGACUGG